AGUACCUACACUGACGACAACUCCAAAGAAGACCAAGAUGUCAAAUCUUCUGCCUAUCAACCCAGCUUCUGAUUGGAAGAAAGUGAGUGUUGCCCUUUCAGUUGGAAUUGGAGUAACGCUUUCCCUAGGAAUUCUUGCGCUGAUUCUUGUUGUAACCAUGCGGAGAUGUCGUCGUUCAAAGAGACAAACAGAUAACGGAGGAGGUGUACAGAACACGCUUUCUCCUGCUAGCACGUUAUCUAUAGAAACGCCUUCUCAGUACGUAUACGACAACGUCGUGAAUCCGUUCUCACCUGAACCCUUUCGACAGAGUAGCCGCGCAGACUCGGGGAAUUCGCAUGGAAUGAUUACGUCACUGGUUCAUCGACCACCACUGCCAACACCU